AAACCAUGAGUUGGAAACUUCUGUAGAUAUUCUUUAAAUCUCUUCCAAGCUUCGUAUAAUUAUUCCUCCGGUUGCUGCUUGAAAUCAUAGAUUUUGUCACGGAUCUC